UACGUAGGGAGCUAGCGUUAUCCGGAAUUACUGGGCGUAAAGGGUGCGUAGGUGGUUUCUUAAGUCAGAGGUGAAAGGCUACGGCUCAACCGUAGUAAGCCUUUGAAACUGGGAAACUUGAGUGCAGGAGAGGAGAGUGGAAUUCCUAGUGUAGCGGUGAAAUGCGUAGAUAUUAGGAGGAACACCAGUUGCGAAGGCGGCUCUCUGGACUGUAACUGACACUGAGGCACGAAAGCGUGGGGAGCAAACAGGAUUAGAUACCCUGGUAGUCCCUGA
rnacentral:rRNA from 1 species